rnacentral:rRNA from 1 species
AUUGAACGCUGGCGGCAUGCUUUACACAUGCAAGUCGAACGGCAGCGCGGGGCAACCUGGCGGCGAGUGGCGAACGGGUGAGUAAUAUAUCGGAACGUACCCAGAAGUGGGGGAUAACGUAGCGAAAGUUACGCUAAUACCGCAUACGAUCUACGGAUGAAAGUAGGGGACCGCAAGGCCUUAUGCUUUUGGAGCGGCCGAUAUCUGAUUAGCUAGUUGGUGAGGUAAAGGCUCACCAAGGCGACGAUCAGUAGCUGGUCUGAGAGGACGACCAGCCACACUGGAACUGAGACACGGUCCAGACUCCUACGGGAGGCAGCAGUGGGGAAUUUUGGACAAUGGGCGCAAGCCUGAUCCAGCAAUGCCGCGUGAGUGAAGAAGGCCUUCGGGUUGUAAAGCUCUUUUGUCAGGGAAGAAACGGUAGAGGCUAACAUCCUUUGCUAAUGACGGUACCUGAAGAAUAAGCACCGGCUAACUACGUG